CUUGUGUAAUGCUUUCUCACAGGUAUGAAUUAGGAGCCGCUCUGUUUAUUGGAUGGGCAGGAGCCUCACUGUGCAUAAUUGGUGGUGUCAUAUUUUGCUUUUCAAUAUCUGACAACAACAAAACACCCAGAUACGCAUACAACGGGGCCACAUCUGUCAUGUCUUCUCGGACAAAGUAUCAUGGUGGAGAAGAUUUUAAAACAACAAACCCUUCAAAACAGUUUGAUAAAAAUGCUUAUGUCUAAAAGAGCUUCCUGGCAAGCUGCAUCUUGAGUUUGUUAUAAAAGCGAACUGUUCACAAAAUGAUCCCAUCAAGGCCCUCCCAUAAUUAACACUCAAAACUAUUUUUAAAAUACGCAUUUGAAGCAUUUGUUGAUUGUAAUCGAUGUAAGUGUUCUUACACAGUUAUAUACUAAUCAUUUUCUGUUGUGGCUUUCUAUAAAAAAUAAACAGGUUAUUUACAGGA